rnacentral:rRNA from 1 species
GAUCCUGGCUCAGGAUGAACGCUAGCUACAGGCUUAACACAUGCAAGUCGAGGGGCAUCAGGAAGAAAGCUUGCUUUCUUUGCUGGCGACCGGCGCACGGGUGAGUAACACGUAUCCAACCUGCCGAUGACUCGGGGAUAGCCUUUCGAAAGAAAGAUUAAUACCGAUGGUAUAUCUGAAAGGCAUCUUUCAGCUAUUAAAGAAAUUUCGGUUCAUUGUAUGGGGAGUGCGUUCC